UACGAAGGGGGCUAGCGUUGUUCGGAAUUACUGGGCGUAAAGCGCACGUAGGCGGGUCGUUAAGUCCGGGGUGAAAUCCCGGAGCUCAACUCCGGAACUGCCUUUGAUACUGGCGAUCUUGAGAUCGGAAGAGGUGAGUGGAAUUCCCAGUGUAGAGGUGAAAUUCGUAGAUAUUGGGAAGAACACCAGUGGCGAAGGCGGCUCACUGGUCCGAUACUGACGCUGAGGUGCGAAAGCGUGGGGAGCAAACAGG
rnacentral:rRNA from 1 species